UGAAAAUCAGCCGUUUUGCUGAGACAGUCGAUGUUGGUGUUGAUUGAGUCAUCUUUGUCAUUAGGAACUUUUAGUUAUUGAGCUGCGGGUACAAAGUGUUCAUAUUUAUUAAUGUAGGCUGACCUGCUAGCCGAUCUGGAUAUUUGAGGUUCAAAACUUUUCACAAGCAAAAAAAUCAGUUAUAAGGUCACAAAAGCUAAGACUCACUUUAAUCGUUAAUCUUUGUUGAUGGCUUUUUUUUGGUAUAUUCUUCUUCAAGAUUAUGUUUUUAUAUCCUUUAUUAGUAUAUAUAUAUAUAUAUAUAUAGCUUGGAAUGAGUGGAUUGAUCGUCAUUGGAACUACUGUUACAUGUAGCAAGGAUCUCUGCCUUGGAAUUACUGUUACAAGGUCUAAUAAGAAAAGCAUGCCAUACGUUUAAUUUGUUUCACUCAUCAUCUUUUCUUUCCCAUUUUUUCCAGCUUGUGCUUCUCUUUCUGGCUAUUGUCUCUGUUCCGUGUAUGUUGCUUUCAAAGCAGUUCAUCUUGAAGAAACAACAUGAAGCUAUCCAGAAGCAACAAGGUCAGUCUUAUGCACCUCUUGAGGAGACGGAUGAGAGUAUUCAUGUAUCGACAAGCGGAGGAUCACAUGGGCACGGGAGUUUGAAUUCAGCGACAUCUUUGUGCAUCAGUUUUUUCACACCAUAGAAUUUUUUGCUUAGAGCUGUUUCCAACACCUCUUCUUACCUGCGUAUAUGGGCUCUCAGUCUUGCACACUCGGAGAUAUCGUCAGUCUUCUAUGAGACUAUGAGAAGGUCCUCCUUCUCGCUUGGAAUACAACAAUGUGUUGAUCCUGAUCGUUGGGAUCAUUGUUUUCAUAUUGUGGGAUUGCUGCUGGUGAUAGAGACACAGAGCACGUUCCUUCACGCACUGCGUCUCCACUUGGUGAAGUUUCAGAACAAAUUCUACGAAGGAGAUAGUUCCAAGUUCGCUCCUUUCUCUUUCAUUCUCACUGGAAACGAAGACGACUGAUAGGGAUGAAUGAUUGUUCCACUCCCCUCCCAUUCUCUGCAAAAUUUGCUUAUAUAAAAAAGGAACAAGACAAACCAAGUUUUAUUUAUUUUUUGCCAAUAUAUUUUUCCCCUUCCACAUUCAGGGUGGGUGGAAUAAAAUAUGUUUAUUUUGUUUGCCUGUCUGGAGAUUAGAUUUUUUAAACAACAGUGGAGAAGGGGCUAAUGGAAUUUGUAUGAGGCAAAACUCAUUUGUUGAUGUGUUUGUUUGGAGUUAAAUACGUGAGGAUUUGUUUCCA